UACGGGGGGGGCAAGCGUUGUUCGGAAUUACUGGGCGUAAAGGGCGCGUAGGCGGGAUGGCAAGUCGGGGGUGAAAGCCCGAGGCUCAACCUCGGAACUGCCUUCGAUACUGCGGGUCUCGAGUCCGGGAGAGGUGAGUGGAAUUCCUAGUGUAGAGGUGAAAUUCGUAGAUAUUAGGAAGAACACCAGUGGCGAAGGCGGCUCACUGGCUCGGUACUGACGCUGAGGCGCGAAAGCGUGGGGAGCAAACAGG
rnacentral:rRNA from 1 species